AACGAACGCUGGCGGCAUGCCUAACACAUGCAAGUCGAACGAGACCUUCGGGUUUAGUGGCGCACGGGUGCGUAACGCGUGGGAACCUGCCUUUAGGUUCGGAAUAACUCAGAGAAAUUUGAGCUAAUACCGGAUGAUGUCUUCGGACCAAAGAUUUAUCGCCUUUAGAUGGGCCCGCGUUGGAUUAGCUAGUUGGUGGGGUAAAGGCCUACCAAGGCGACGAUCCAUAGCUGGUCUGAGAGGAUGAUCAGCCACACUGGGACUGAGACACGGCCCAGACUCCUACGGGAGGCAGCAGUGGGGAAUAUUGGACAAUGGGCGAAAGCCUGAUCCAGCAAUGCCGCGUGAGUGAUGAAGGCCUUAGGGUUGUAAAGCUCUUUUACCCGAGAUGAUAAUGACAGUAUCGGGAGAAUAAGCGCCGGCUAACUCCGUG
rnacentral:rRNA from 1 species